rnacentral:lncRNA from 1 species
GCAAGCCAGGUGUGACCCAGCAGGCCAAGUGAAUGGGGCACCUCCUGUAGCAGGCCCAGGACUGAGCAAGGCCCAGGUGGGGAUGUCACUGGCUGUGGAGGUCCCUGGCUGGCAAAGUGACUGAGAAAAAUCCUGCAUCACUAGGUUAUUGGGAGAAGAAACAGAAAGAUGGUGGAUAUCAGGGAGAAUUGGACCCAUCCAGCUACUUAUCAGGGAGCAAAGUU